rnacentral:tRNA from 1 species
GUUGUCGUAGCUUAAAAUAAAGCAUAACACUGAAGAUGUUAAGAUGGGCCCUAGAAAUGCCUCGAGAACA